rnacentral:rRNA from 4 species
AAAUUGAAGAGUUUGAUCAUGGCUCAGAUUGAACGCUGGCGGCAGGCCUAACACAUGCAAGUCGAACGGUAACAGGAAGCAGCUUGCUGCUUUGCUGACGAGUGGCGGACGGGUGAGUAAUGUCUGGGAAACUGCCUGAUGGAGGGGGAUAACUACUGGAAACGGUGGCUAAUACCGCAUAACGUCGCAAGACCAAAGAGGGGGACCUUCGGGCCUCUUGCCAUCAGAUGUGCCCAGAUGGGAUUAGCUUGUUGGUGAGGUAACGGCUCACCAAGGCGACGAUCCCUAGCUGGUCUGAGAGGAUGACCAGCCACACUGGAACUGAGACACGGUCCAGACUCCUACGGGAGGCAGCAGUGGGGAAUAUUGCACAAUGGGCGCAAGCCUGAUGCAGCCAUGCCGCGUGUAUGAAGAAGGCCUUCGGGUUGUAAAGUACUUUCAGCGGGGAGGAAGGUGUUGCGGUUAAUAACCGCAGCAAUUGACGUUACCCGCAGAAGAAGCACCGGCUAACUCCGUGCCAGCAGCCGCGGUAAUACGGAGGGUGCAAGCGUUAAUCGGAAUUACUGGGCGUAAAGCGCACGCAGGCGGUCUGUCAAGUCGGAUGUGAAAUCCCCGGGCUCAACCUGGGAACUGCAUUCGAAACUGGCAGGCUUGAGUCUUGUAGAGGGGGGUAGAAUUCCAGGUGUAGCGGUGAAAUGCGUAGAGAUCUGGAGGAAUACCGGUGGCGAAGGCGGCCCCCUGGACAAAGACUGACGCUCAGGUGCGAAAGCGUGGGGAGCAAACAGGAUUAGAUACCCUGGUAGUCCACGCCGUAAACGAUGUCUACUUGGAGGUUGUGCCCUUGAGGCGUGGCUUCCGGAGCUAACGCGUUAAGUAGACCGCCUGGGGAGUACGGCCGCAAGGUUAAAACUCAAAUGAAUUGACGGGGGCCCGCACAAGCGGUGGAGCAUGUGGUUUAAUUCGAUGCAACGCGAAGAACC